AUCAAAUGUUUUAUUAGUGAAAUAUUGAGUUAAAAUGGCGGUUCUUAGAGAGAAAUGUCGUUUUUUAAGUGAUACUCUACAAACUGAAGUAAUGUGUCUGACCUUCAGCAACAAAAUGGAAAGGACUGAAAAGAUGAAGUCAAACCCUGCCCUGCUCAGACCACCUGACUGACAUCUGAUGCUUGUGUAGGAGUUUUGACAAAAUGCUGUAAAAUCCAGGAGUGGAGAAACAUCUCGAUGCUUUCUGAGGUGUUUUCUGUCGUGUGCAGAAGCCUGAUGAUGACUUAAAGUCUCACAUGAAGCAGAACUUCCAGCUGGUCUUGAUGAAAGUUCUCCAGUAACCGUGUGGAUUGAUGUUUGAGUACGAUGCAGGUGAAGAUCCGUCUCCGAGGUUCUGAUGGCGCUUCAUAUUUUUUUAAUAAGAAGCUACUUGAAGUUUCGCCUUUUUCUUUGUUCUCCGCAGAGUUGAUCUGAAAGUGAGAUAACUCUGCAGAUAAGAUUGCACCCCUGUGUCUGUGUUUGAGGUUUAAAAGGAAGAGGAAAUGUUUUCAUGUGAUAUACGUGCAUGUUAAAUGUGUCACAAAGUGUGUCUUCUAUAAUUGUGAAGUUUUUGUGAUCACAUUAAGAUUUAUGUUACUGGUGAAAUUGUAAUUAAAGAUAUUUUCUAACAUUUGUGGAAAGUGACUUGAAAAGACAUGAAAUAAACUUCAUCCCUAAACAAA